UACGUAGGGUGCGAGCGUUGCCCGGAUUUAUUGGGCGUAAAGGGCGCGUAGGCGGCUCUGCACGUCCGUUGUGAAAUCGCCCGGCUCAACUGGGCGGGGUCAGCGGAUACGGCAGAGCUCGAGCAAGCUAGGGGGCAAUGGAAUUCCCGGUGUAGUGGUGGAAUGCGUAGAUAUCUGGAGGAACACCGGUGGCGAAGGCGGCAUCCUGGACCGAGAUCGACGCUGAGGCGCGAAAGCUAGGGGAGCAAACGGG
rnacentral:rRNA from 1 species